UUCAAGUAAUCCAGGAUAGGCUGUAUGCAUUGCAGUUGGCCUAUUCUUGAUUACUUGCACU
rnacentral:pre_miRNA from 1 species